ACGGUCCCGAUUGUUUAAUAAAAACAUAAGAUUUUGCUAAAUUUAAUAAAAUGAUGUAUAAGAUCUGACACCUGCCCAAUGCUGCAAGGUGAAAAAAAGUAGUAUUGCUGCUUUUAUAAACCCCAGUGAAUGGCGGCCGUAACCCUGACGGUCCUAAGGUAGCGAAAUUCCUUGACGGGUAAGUUCCGUCCUGCAUGAAUGGUGUAACGACUGCCCCGCUGUCUCCAAUAUUAGUCUUACGAAAUUGAAUUAGUCGUGAAGAUGCGACUUAUAUACAGUUAGACGGGAAGACCCUAUGCACCUUUACUAUAAUCUAU
rnacentral:rRNA from 1 species